rnacentral:rRNA from 1 species
AACGAACGCUGGCGGCGCGCCUAAUACAUGCAAGUCGAGCGAGAAGGUGUAGCAAUACACUUGUAAAGCGGCGAACGGGUGAGGAAUGCAUGGGUAACCUACCCUCGAGUGGGGAAUAACUAGCCGAAAGGUUAGCUAAUACCGCAUACGUUUCCGGAACUUCGGUUUCGGAAAGAAAGCAAUACCGUGGGUAAUUGCGCUCCUGGAUGGGCUCAUGUCCUAUCAGCUUGUUGGUGAGGUAACGGCUACACCAAGGCUUCGACGGGUAGCUGGUACUGAGAGGACGAUCAGCCACACUGGCACUGCGACACGGGCCAGACUCCUACGGGAGCAGCAGUAAGGAUAUUGCGCAAUGGACGAAAGUCUGACGCAGCGACGCCGCGUGGGGGAU